UGAUGAUAAUUUUCUCAGUUCAAGAAGGUCACUUACAAGAAACUCCAGUUCUCAAUAGAUUCUGGAGAUAACUGUGUGAAGGUUGGGUCAAAUAUAGGUCUGAUAAAGAACAUUUUGGUUAGAAAGGAUGGAGGUGAAGUGAUGGUACUCUUUGAAUCUUUUAGUAAUAUAUCCACCUUCUUUACAAGCCCACUAAGUUCAUCAGAUUUGGGUGUUUACAAGGUAUCACAUCUUAGAGGAAGGCUUGAUAUUAUUCCACUGUCAGAAAUAAUGUGCAAAUAUGUAAUGCUGCCUUAUAAGAAUGAUUUCUUUGUUGUAAUUCCAGUGAUUCACCAGUUUAAUAGACCAUGAGUGAUGCAGAAGUUGGGGCUAUGGUACUGGAUGUGUUAGUGUCUGCUUUUUUCUUUAUUUACUUAGGGUUGCAUUUUGCUUUAAAGACACUUUCGUGGUUUUGUCUUGUUUUUUCCAACAGAUGGGUGAAACAUUUGUUUUGGUGGAAUUCCUUAAGACAAAUGAUGUGGCUGUAAUCCCUUCAUCAUGGCUAGUUAGCAAAGACAAAGCACUGUGGCCUCCAUACCUUUCCUCAACACGAAUAAACAAUGCUGUCCGCAACAGAGAUUCACCAUGUACAGAAUGGACGAAGUAUUCUGUUAAAAUCAUGUAUGAAUCAGAACACUGCGGCAUCCAGUCCACCCACUGUUGGUUCAUCACCUGGGACCUGUGUGUGUCCUUGUCUGUUGUGUUCGUCAUCUGGGAUGUCUGUGGUUGUUUGUGUCUGUUGUGUCUAAUUGUGCCUUUGUUGUGAGUACCCUGUUGUGUUGUAUUCACUUAUUUCAACACGUAUCUGUGUCUUUUUCACUUCUUUCAUUACAUACUUUUUAGGAAAAUUAGAAAUAAACAAAUUACCUAUGAAUAUAGUAUGUGCUUAAUUCUUUCAUUGUGGCAGAUUUCUCAAAAACUUCAUGAACUAACCUGGUACUAGCAUAAGGCAAGUAAAAGGAAUGAUCCUGUAUGGUAACCAAUGAUAAUAAAUGAGUAAUAUUUACUAAAUUUAUCCACAGAUACAUAUGAGAGAGCAAGAGCAAAGUUGUCAACCGCUAUGUAUCAUUCUGACCUACUGACGGAGGAUUCUGAGGAUGAUAUCAUUAGCCGUUGUUCAAAAAGGAAGAGGAGAUCUCCCAGCAGAUACACUGACCAUGAAAGUUCUGAAGAGGACUGCUUUAGUUCAAGGGCUAAGACAAAAGCUUCCAGCAGUAUCAGGGAUGUGGAGGUAAAAUCCAAAGACCAGAUUGCAAGACCAGUUCCACCUAGGCCAUCUGUACCGAGCUGUAUUGUGUCACAGCCACAGCUACCACCACCUGAGAGUCUGGAUGUAAAUGGUAAUGCAGUUUCUUCUUUUGAAGUCACUUAACACUGUGAUAGGGAAGUUGUUACAUUUGACUUGAAAUGCAGUUCAAGUAUACUCCAGUUUUGGGCCGUAACUACUAUUGUGCUGGUAUUGUUAUAUGUUAAUAUCUUGGUAUGACAGGUUAUUAUGUGCUCAUAAGUGAUAUGUUC